UACGUAGGGGGCUAGCGUUGUCCGGAAUCAUUGGGCGUAAAGAGCGCGUAGGCGGCCCGAUAAGUCCGUUGUAAAAGUCGAAGGCUCAACCUUCGAAUGCCGAUGGAUACUGUCGGGCUAGAGUCCGGAAGAGGCGAGUGGAAUUCCCAGUGUAGCGGUGAAAUGCGUAGAUAUUGGGAGGAACACCAGUGGCGAAGGCGGCUCACUGGACCGGUACUGACGCUGAUGCGCGACAGCAUGGGGAGCAAACAGG
rnacentral:rRNA from 1 species